GUAAGUAAAAAAGUCGUAACAAGGUCUCCGUUGGUGAACCAGCGGAGGGAUCAUUACCGAGUUUACAACUCCCAAACCCAAUGUGAACGUUACCAAACUGUUGCCUCGGCGGGGUCACGCCCCGGGUGCGUCGCAGCCCCGGAACCAGGCGCCCGCCGGAGGAACCAACCAAACUCUUUCUGUAGUCCCCUCGCGGACGUAUUUCUUUACAGCUCUGAGCAAAAAUUCAAAAUGAAUCAAAACUUUCAACAACGGAUCUCUUGGUUCUGGCAUCGAUGAAGAACGCAGCGAAAUGCGAUAAGUAAUGUGAAUUGCAGAAUUCAGUGAAUCAUCGAAUCUUUGAACGCACAUUGCGCCCGCCAGUAUUCUGGCGGGCAUGCCUGUCCGAGCGUCAUUUCAACCCUCGAACCCCUCCGGGGGAUCGGCGUUGGGGAUCGGGACCCCUCACACGGGUGCCGGCCCCUAAAUACAGUGGCGGUCUCGCCGCAGCCUCUCCUGCGCAGUAGUUUGCACAACUCGCACCGGGAGCGCGGCGCGUCCACGUCCGUAAAACACCCAACUUUCUGAAAUGUUGACCUCGGAUCAGGUAGGAAUACCCGCUGAACUUAAGCAUAUCAAUAAGCCGGAGGAA
rnacentral:rRNA from 1 species